rnacentral:rRNA from 1 species
CCUACGGGAGGCAGCAGUGAGGAAUAUUGGUCAAUGGACGAGAGUCUGAACCAGCCAAGUAGCGUGAAGGAUGACUGCCCUAUGGGUUGUAAACUUCUUUUAUAAAGGAAUAAAACGAGGUACGUGUGCCUUUUUGCAUGUACUUUAUGAAUAAGGAUCGGCUAACUCCGUGCCAGCAGCCGCGGUAAUACGGAGGAUCCGAGCGUUAUCCGGAUUUAUUGGGUUUAAAGGGAGCGUAGAUGGGUUGUUAAGUCAGUUGUGAAAGUUUGCGUCUCAACCGUAAAAUUGCAAUUGAUACUGGCAGUCUUGAGUACAGUUGAGGUAGGCGGAAUUCGUGGUGUAGCGGUGAAAUGCUUAGAUAUCAGGAAGAACCCCGAUUGCGAAGGCAGCUUACUAAACUGUGACUGACAUUGAUGCUCGAAAGUGUGGGGAGCAAACAGGAUUAGAUACCCCAGUAGUC